rnacentral:rRNA from 1 species
GGGUACACGAGCGGCGAACGGGUGAGUAACACGUGAGCAACCUGCCCCUGACUCCGGGAUAAGCGGUGGAAACGCCGUCUAAUACCGGAUACGACCGGCCACCUCAUGGUGGACGGUGGAAAGUUUUUCGGUCGGGGAUGGGCUCGCGGCCUAUCAGCUAGUUGGUGGGGUAAAGGCCUACCAAGGCGAUUACGGGUAGCCGGCCUGAGAGGGCGACCGGCCACACUGGGACUGAGACACGGCCCAGACUCCUGCGGGAGGCAGCAGUGGGGAAUAUUGCGCAAUGGGCGAAAGCCUGACGCAGCGACGCCGCGUGGGGGAUGACGGCCUUCGGGUUGUAAACCUCUUUUACCACCAACGCAGGCUCCCAGUUCUCUGGGGGUUGACGGUAGGUGGGGAAUAAGGACCGGCUAACUACGUGCCAGCAGCCGCGGUAAUACGUAGGGUCCGAGCGUUGUCCGGAAUUAUUGGGCGUAAAGAGCUCGUAGGCGGCGUGUCGCGUCUGCUGUGAAAGACCGGGGCUUAACUCCGGUUCUGCAGUGGAUACGGGCAUGCUAGAGGUAGGUAGGGGAGACUGGAAUUCC